rnacentral:rRNA from 1 species
GAUCAAAGUCGGGGAUCGCAAGACCUGGCGCUUGUAGAGGGACCCGCGUCCGAUUAGCUUGUUGGUGGGGUAGUGGCCUACCAAGGCUUCGAUCGGUAGCCGGCCUGAGAGGAUGAUCAGCCACAUCGGGACUGAGACACGGCCCGAACUCCUACGGGAGGCAGCAGUGGGGAAUAUUGGACAAUGGGGGCAACCCUGAUCCAGCAAUACCGCGUGUGUGAAGAAGGCCUGAGGGUUGUAAAGCACUUUCAAUUGUGAAGAAAAGUUAACGGUUAAUAACCGUUGACCUUGACGUUAACUUUAGAAGAAGCACCGGCUAACUCCGUGCCAGCAGCCGCGGUAAUACGGAGGGUGCAAGCGUUAAUCGGAAUUACUGGGCGUAAAGCGUGCGUAGGCGGUUUAUUAAGUCAGAUGUGAAAGCCCCGGGCUUAACCUGGGAACUGCAUUUGAAACUGGUCAACUAGAGUAUGGUAGAGGAAAGUGGAAUUUCUGGUGUAGCGGUGAAAUGCGUAGAUAUCAGAAGGAACAUCAAUGGCGAAGGCAGCUUUCUGGACCAAUACUGACGCUGAGGUACGAAAGCGUGGGUAGCAAACAGGAUUAGAUACCCUGGUAGUCCACGCCGUAAACGAUGAUAACUAGCCGUUGGGGGGAUUUACCCUUUAGUGGCGAAGCUAACGCGUUAAGUUAUCCGCCUGGGGAGUACGGCCGCAAGGCUAAAACUCAAAGGAAUUGACGGGGACCCGCACAAGCGGUGGAGCAUGUGGUUUAAUUCGAUGCAACGCGAAGAACCUUACCUGGUCUUGACAUCCUGCGAACUUUCUAGAAAUAGAUUGGUGCCUUCGGGAACGCAGUGACAGGUGCUGCAUGGCUGUCGUCAGCUCGUGUCGUGAGAUGUUGGGUUAAGUCCCGUAACGAGCGCAACCCUUAUCCUUAUUUGCCAGCACAUUAUGGUGGGAACUAUAAGGAGACUGCCGGUGAUAAACCGGAGGAAGGCGGGGACGACGUCAAGUCAUCAUGGCCCUUACGACCAGGGCUACACACGUGCUACAAUGGGAAGGACAAAGAGCCGCGAAGCCGCGAGGUGUAGCUAAUCUCAUAAAUCUUUUCGUAGUCCGGAUUGGAGUCUGCAACUCGACUCCAUGAAGUCGGAAUCGCUAGUAAUCGUAGAUCAGAAUGCUACGGUGAAUACGUUCCCGGGUCUUGUACACACCGCCCGUCAUACCAUGGGAGUGGGUUGCACCAGAAGUGGCUAGUCUAACUUUGUGAGGACGGUCACCACGGUGUGAUUCAUGACUGGGGUAAAGUCGUAACAAGGUAACC